UUCAACCUAAUUUCUUCUUGUUCGGUAGGUCGGUUUUUCCGGAUCUCGCCUCCAAGAUUGUUCCAUCUUUUCUCGACCUCAAAUCUGUUUGUUCAUGCCUACAGGAUCUCCUCGCGGCCGGCUCUAUGCAUACCUCGUGUCCGAUGCACGCGUUCAUUGUGUAGAACACAGAUCGAUCUGAGCUGCUCAUGCCCGGUGAGUCUAGAUAGACUUGUAAUCGUUCAUUGUUUGUGGUUAAUUUCAAUCAGAACGAAACUUCUUUUGGUUUCUGAUGUUACGAAGGUGUUUACAUGAUCUCUUUCCUCUUGUUUCUAUAUGUUCUGGUUUGAUCUCUACAGUUUUCCUUUUCUUUCGAAAUUUUAUUGGCUCGCCGUCUUAUUUUCUUCAAUAAAAGUCGAGAUCCCGUACGUUUUUCCCGUGGGAACGGAACGGGGAGUCUGAAUCUGAAACAGACGCACCCACGCGUCUCGUACGUUCUUGCGUCUCGUACAUUUUUGCAUCUCGUACGUUUUUGCUGGUGUCUCGAAGGUGAAGGUGCUUAGAUGAUUUCUUCCAUCUGGUUGGUUUCUACAUGUCUGAUUUGAUCUCUACAAUCUCCUUUUUGCCUUCUGAAACUUUAUCGAUUCUGAAACUUUUUUUGUUUGAACGAAAUAUAAACCGGACACCGUCCGAGAUCCCGUGCGUUUUUCCAUCACGAAUGCCCCGGCAUCUUGCCUAUAUUUUUUCCAUCUUCUUCGUAGAUCUAUCCGUCGGCAGAUGAGUGACAACUCGUUUGUCCUCUCUCUUGUCGAUCUCCCCGUGCAGCUGUUGUUUCACGCCAAACAGACUGCCAUCCGUUUGAUUGGUUUUCCAGCGGACUACUUUCAGGCUUGUAUCUUAACUGAAUUUCCUCUGCUAACAGAUAACAGAUGAGCUGCAUAUACAGUUGGAGACCAAAAACGACAAUAGCAACCCAGAACGCCAGGUAAACUUUCUGACAUCAUAUCCAUUCUCACGCUGCUAUCAUUCAACAUAAAUUGAACACAAUGCAUAGAAAAACAUUUCCUCAUCUCGCAAUAAAAUCAACAUAGCCAGGUUCCAUUAUCAUAUCUUCAAAACAUUCAAACACAAGUCGUAGAUCGUAACUCAGUCUCACCGAUAUAAACUCAUACUGUCUCACUACAUAUGCGUAAGAAAAGUUGACGGAAAUUAUAGUUGUCCUGGAAGAUUCUGGAAAGGUAUUUAUUCGCAAAAGAACAAAUUACGGCUGACGCUUGUCCUAGGCUAUUCCGCAAGUGCUUUUACUGCAACACCUGUGAUCCUAAGAAACCAAUGUCAGCUUAUGAAACUAAUGUCAACGUAUUAUGUGUGUAUGUACUAUAAAAUAACAUGCAACUUAACAUAAACUCUAUUGUUUGGCAGGGAAUAACAUGGAUUUUAGUACAUCUACCUUUUUGCCGACUAACUUUUAACUAGGAAACAGCCAACCGACACAGCAGAUACCGGAGAAGACCCAAAAUGACAAAUGAACUUUCUGAAGCCUUUAUAUUUCGUUUAAAUACAGUUACAAUGUUUGACAAAUUAAGAAUAAUAGUUUUCUAGAUAACACAGUUUUAGAUUACUCAGGCUGAGGCCGGGGCAGGGAGGAGUCGGAUCUGAAUGCAGGGAGUGAGCGGCUCUGGCUGCUCUGUAUUUUUAGGUUGCUCCUCUUUGUACUUGUUCUAUGCUCUGUCUCUGUAUUGCUGCUACUGCUAUAUAAUGAACUGUUCCGUUGGAAAUAGAGGAUUCCAAAUUUAGACAAUCCACUAGAAAAACCGAGUUGUCCAAAAUGAUUUUUUUACUGUUGUUUAACAAAUUUAGGCAAGCCACUUGAGAUGAUCUAACAACAACUAACAGCAUGUUCUAAGAUGCUAUGCCUUAGCACUGUACCUUGGUCAAUGGCGGUUGCGGUUGCCCUUCUUCUUCGGUCCACCGUGAGCUCGCAGGUAAGCCUCCCUUGCCUGCGCAUGGCGGAGCAGCUGCUGAGUCUCCUGCCGGUCCAGGUAGGCAUGCAUCGCCAUGUGAUGGGUCUGGUUAUCGUGCCUCGUAUCCUUGCAAUGUUCGCAGUACCACUUUAUGACUGGCGGUGCCACUCGCCCUCCCUGGCCUUCGGCUACAGCUGCUGCUACGCCGAGGCCCCUCCCACCAGGUCCGCGGCCCCGGCCUCCAGGUCCGCAGCCCCGGCCUCCGCCGCGACCUCCGCGUCCACCCAUGCUGCCUGCAAACACGGAAUUUCAGAAAACACGAUUCUGCUCUGCUUUGGUUAAAGCGGUUCUUCACAUCUGAAAAGGAAAUAGAAAAACCAGCGCAGAAUUGAAUCGGAUCUGAACAGGGAAUUAAAAAAUGCUUGAGUUAAAGCGGUUCUUCAGAUCUGAAGAGGAAAUAGAAAAACCAGCACAGAAUUGAAUCACGCGCAGAAUUGAGGCUGCGUUUGGAACAUUGUUUUUUUGCUACACUUGUAAUAUUUUACACUUGUAUUAUACUAGCCUACAAUCAGAAAACAUGUCAGGAUUGUAUUUCCAUUCCGCUUCCCAGCUUCCGUUUGGAUUGUUGUUUUUCUCCCACCCUUGUAACCUGGCUGCCAUAGCCUAAAUUUUCAAAAGCACAAACUUUUAGGUACGGUUGUAACAUUGCAAAUUCAGGUCAUUCGUACUGACUGUACUUCCAUAAAUUUGAGUUCCCAUUCCCCACAAAUUAGCAUGAGCCAUGGCACAGGCGCACAUCCAGCAUCACAACUCUGUCGUGCUGUUACCUCCAGCAAAUAAAAUCACAGAUCCACACCCAAAUGGUGUAUCAUUAUUUAUUGCAGUAGAUGGGGGGAGAAAACAAGGACUUGCCAAAAAUCAACGGAGCAAACUAAGACCAUUCUCACCAACUGGGCAAAUACAGAAAAAACAUGUCUUUUUCGGUUGCAUUCAUCCUCGAGACAAUGUGUAAGUCAAAGGAGGAACCAAGAAACUCCUGCAAGCAAAUCUUACUUUGCUUGAGGAUGCGAUGCGAUGAAGUCAACUGCUGAUUUGAUGGAAUCGAUCCUCUCUGCCUCAUUGUCGGGGAUUUCGAAGCUGAACUCUUCCUCAAAGGCCAUGACGAUCUCGACACUGCACAUGCCAUUCAAGUUCAGUAUACACAGAACCAAUGCAAAUAUAGCUUGACAAUGAAAGUGCCACUGCAACAAUAAAACAAUUAAACGGAAAAUGCGUGUAGAUAAACGGAACAUGAAGUGCUGGCAUGUAGUCCACCACACAAAUUGCCAUCUUAAAUUCUUGACAGUAAGAAACAAAAUUCAGUGCUUAUAUGUUUCACAACCCUACAAAAGAUACUUGUACGCAUAUAUGUAAAACAAAUUCGGUUCUAGGAAGAAAAACUGGUUCGAAACAUAUAUGCUGGCCAACUUUUGCACAGUUUUGAGCUAGCUGCCGAGUCUAGGAUAUUAAAAAUACCCGCAAAACAUUAAGAGAAGGACAACAAAAUCAAACAAACUAAUUUCAGAUAGACAUAUAUGCAAAACAAAUUCGGUUCUAGGAAGAAAAACUGGUUCGAAACAACAAAGUUCGUUAACAAUAUAUUGAUCUAAUUUGAAAUAGGAAACUGAAGGUCCGUUACUUAACACAUGGUAGAGUAAAUUAACAUUUGUCUACCUGACAGUCAUGUGAAGUACAUUAACAACCAAGUUAACCUGCUCAUGCCGAUGCAGUAAACUUCGGAAAUUAGAUAACAUAAAUGGCUGAACUACUAGCAACCUGAACUUCACAAGGUUCUUUCAGAAUGGGACGUAGUACUGGUUAAAGAUCAUGCUCGCGCUCUCGUCCAACCGCUUCAUUAAUAUAGGCAUGAGCAUCUUUGAGAGGAGAGGGAGCAAGGACAAUACCUAUGAUCAAAGCACCAGAUUGAUUGAAGGAAUAUCGCCAGGUGAAAACCGAGCUGCAAAGGAAUACUCGCUCAAAUAAGCCUUGGAAACUUAUCUUUAGUGGGGAGAAUAAAUGCAGAAAACCAAGUUUUAUGGGACUUACAAGGAGGAGGCUGAGGACUGAUCUUGUCGACUUCCUUCUUUAACCACAUACCCCGCAGUCUUGAGUUGUAACCCAGGAAAAUCUCACGGUUUGCUGCAUCUUUGAAAACAUCAGAGGCAAAGAUUUUCACCUCGUCGGGCACAUCUUCCAUAUCAUUCAAGAUUUCCAAGCAUUCUCUAAUUGAGGGUUGUUUUCCUUGUUGUGACACUCUCUCCUUCUUAGUAGCUUGCUCUUUCUUGAAAUUCACAUACGCCAUCAUUGAAUCUUCAAGGCGUUGUACAGAUGUGGCACUUUUCUGUUUUUUGGGUCUCCUUCCUUUGGCACUUGAUUCACUUAUUUGUGGAUGGUCUCCAUCAGCAUCACUGCCAAAUUCUUCCUCGUCAUGGACAGUGUUUUCUCUUUCAGCAUCUCCAUCAACAUCAUCCCAUGCACGAAUAUCAUUGAUGUCAAUUAUCGAAGGAGUCCUCAUGCUGUCAUCGCUUCGAUCUCUUGUAUUUCUCUUGAUGGAGCUGGCAACCAUCUUCUCCUUUGCUCCAAAGUUGCUACCUGAUUUUGUGAUAGUCGGAGGCUUCUUUGAUGUGAGACAAUGCCUUCCUUGAGUAAUGUGCCCUUCAUAGAGCACACCCAAUGCCUCAUACAAGGGGAAACUUUUUCCUUCAUACAUUUUGAGCUUUGAAUCCUUCUAUAUAAUCAAUAGAAAGGUUGAGAAAAUCAUGCAUAGGCAAAGAAAAGUACAUGCACUACAAGGAAUAAAAACUUACCGCAAUGAUCUCAACACUGGUUGUAUCUAAAGCAGCAANCUAUAUAAUCAAUAGAAAGGUUGAGAAAAUCAUGCAUAGGCAAAGGAAAGUACAUGCACUACAAGGAAUAAAAACUUACCGCAAUGAUCUCAACACUGGUUGUAUCUAAAGCAGCAAGUUCUGCUUCCAUGGUUGACCUCGUCAAUAUGGUCUGUUUGCAAGACCUUCAUGACACUGCGUCACCUCCAUGCACUGCGCCAUCAAUCAACAUGGAAUUAUUUUGCAAUUUUUGCUGCAGAAUAAAAACAGUUCCUAAGUUCGUGUGGAGAUAGUUUAAUCUUAUUUAAAUUGAACAAACUUGCUUACAUUUACGCAUGGACAAAGUUGCUUAUAACACACAUGAUAGUUGAUUAAAUCUAGUAUGCUUGUUGCCGGGAGAAGGGACACAUCUGUUGGAGGGAUGCAUGGCUUAUAUUGCUUGCAUAGACGGUGAUUUUUUUCAUAUCUCCAUAGAUAAUGAUGUCAAGCAACACUGCAAGUACGAUAGUUGCCUAAGAUGUGCACAAGAGUUGAACAACAUAAGCACAAAGUUGUUGAUCAUGCUUCCCUUAGCUAUGCCAAUAUAUUCUAUAAUUUAUUUGUAUUUUUCUUUGCCGAUGAAAACACAUAGGAGUUGCUUGAUGAAUGAACUGAAAUUGCAGAAAUUAAUGAUCGUGUGUGGAGACCUGCUGCCCGCUUUACUGUUUUUGUUAAAAGUGGAGAGGGACAAUUGAUGCUACAAUUGGUG
rnacentral:lncRNA from 1 species